AGAGUUUGAUCCUGGCUCAGAAUGAAUGCUGGCGGCGUGUCUAACACAUGCAAGUCUAACGGGAAUGUAGGCUUCAGGGGCUUAACACCGGGGGCAACGGGGGGCUUACCACAUUGGUAUCCUACCUCGAGUUUGGGAUAACUUGCCGAAAGGCGGGCUAAUACCCAAUGUGAUUGGUCGCUUAUUGCGAUUAAGUAAAACUAGCGGGCUUUUCUUGGGGCCUAUGCCCUAUCAAUGAGUUGGCGGUGUAUUAGACUACUGGGGCUACAACGGCCAACGGGUGUGACAGCAUGACCCCCCUCUGUGAGGCUGAAACGCUGCCCAGACUCCUACAGGGGGCUGCAAUCCCUAAUAUUCGCCACUGCGCGGAAUUUUGCGGGAUGGACGCCACGUGGAUGCAGAAGCCCUUCGUGACUGAUGAUUGUUUUCUUUUCGACGAACUAUUGACGGGACUAAAAGACUAACGCGCUGCUAUCUUCGUGCCGUCUGCAGCUGUAAUACGAAGGCCCCAAGCCUUAUCCCGAUUUAUUGGGCGUAAAGGGUACUUAGGCGGUUGAUCUGUUCAAUGGUAAAGUCUCCAGGCUCAACCCAGAACCUGCUGUUGAAACUAAUCGACUACAGACUGCUUGACGCUAGUGCAAUUGCUGAUGUAGGGGUAAUAUCCUGUGAUAUCAGAAAGUACACCUCAUGCUAAAGCAACUUGCUACGACAGUUCUGACGCUAAUGUACGAAAGCGUGGGUAGCGAAAGGGAUUAGAUACCCCUGUAGUCCACGCUGUAAACGAUGGAUACUAGACAUUGGAAGUAUCGACCCUUUCAGUGUCGGUGAAACAAGCUAACGCAUUAAGUAUCCGCCUGGGAAGUACGGCCGCAAGGCUAUACUCAACGAACUGACGG
rnacentral:rRNA from 1 species